rnacentral:lncRNA from 1 species
CCAAGAUUGUCUUGAAUGCAGCUUUUACAAAAAGGAAAAUAAAACUAGUCCUAAAUGGUCACUGGCUCUAUUAGGAAUACGACCUGGGCUUCUCACUGCAGAACAGAGUUGGAUUGAAGGCAAAUAAAGCUGAUGGAACUACAGUCCCAGUCCUCCUCAUCUAAUUGGACACACAUUACUGACCAGAUGAAGUAAGAAGAGCUCCAGCAUGGGUAGAUUUAGUACUUAAAAAAGUCCUACCUGGAUGUGGUGAUGUGUGCCUAUAAUCCUGCGUGCUGAGGCUGAGGCAAGACGACAGCAACUUUGAGGUUAGUGUGGGUAACAUAGUGAGACCCUGCCUGAAAAGAAAAGUCCUUAUGAA